GCCCUCGUGGUGUAACGAUUAGCAUACUCCGCUCGUAUUCGAGAGGUCCAGGUUCGAGUCCCGGAGAAGGCA
rnacentral:tRNA from 1 species